AUACUUACCUUGUUCGACUGUUUGAAGCUCCUGAAUUUCGAGCAGUAGGGUGGGAGACCUGCAUUGCACAGCGCGGAGUCGACUGCUCUGUAUUAUCCUUCGGGAUCGUACCGGACGUAAUUUUUGAUGUUCAACCUUGUUUUCAUUGUGU
rnacentral:snRNA from 13 species